rnacentral:lncRNA from 1 species
GGGAAAAUGCAUGACCAGUGACCUACCUAGCUCUAGCCAUAGUCUCGCAUUCAACCACAAGACUUUUACUGUGAAGCCGACGGUUUGGGGAGGAGGGGAUUUGAAUUUGAAUUUAAGGAAAGGGACAACUGUGUGUGAGGUGGGCGACAUGGAUGGCCAAUCAAUGAAAGGAUCUAUCAGCUAGGAUAUUGUUCAUCCAAAAUUGCUUUAUAUAUGUGUGGAGUGCAGCAUUUUCUCCCUGUACAAAAAGAGAUGUGACAAGAUGGUUUUACGACCACAGGUAUAUUCUUAUGGUGUUUGAUUCAAGAAAAAACAAGCUCUCUAGUAUGGUGAUGAGAAUUCAAUCGUAUUGAAUAU